AUUAUCUACGUAACGUAUGAUAUAUAUCGUGUAGUUUUCAUGUGUAGGAAACAUCAUACAGUAAAUAAUUUAUUCCUACAACAACGAUGACAUUUUUCACAAGAUGUAAGGCAUUUCCCUGAACUAAAGAAACUUUUAGCUUAAAUAUGGAAUUCAACAACAAGAAAUUGAAUCAUUGUGCAGCUUGUGAACAAAAGCUGGAAAUCGAAAUUUGUAAAUAAAUAAUGAAUGCUGAAUAUUAACAAUGAAAUCAAUUUAGGGUUAACUGAUUUUUAACUGAAUGUUUAUUAAUUACAAGCAUGCAUGGAAAUAGGUCACAUAACUAAUUUGUAGUAAGGUUGAAAAUAUUCUUGUGCAACGGAUAUUGUUUAAGAAAUUCAAUGUAAACGGAGACUAUAUAGAC